rnacentral:rRNA from 1 species
AAGGGCACCACAAGAACGCGUGGAGCAUGUGGCUUAAUUUGACUCAACACGGGAAAUCUUACCGGGUCCGGACAUACCGAGGAUUGACAGACUGUUAACUGCAACACAUGCUGCUAAGUUUUAAACUUAAUAGCUCUUUCAUGAUUAUAUGAUAGGUGGUGCAUGGCCGUUCUUAGUUCGUGGAGUGAUCUGUCUGCUUAAUUGCGUUUCAAAAUUUAAACCUGAGCGACAGGGUGCUACUAUCGAAACUGUCUUUGAGUGUGAACUAUAAGUCUUUUGACUUAUGACCAUCACUCUAGACGUUUAUGUUUUGGUGUUGGUCCUUGAUGCUCAUUUGAACGCAACGGACGUGAUUGCAACCCCUUGUUGAGAUUUAUCCGAUCCCUACGUUCACUGAACCACACUCUUUAGCGAGAGCAGUGGGGAUGUGGAUAAACUCGGGGGACUGCUGACUAUAAACUUUUCUCAAACCAGAGGAAGGUUGCGGCAAUAACAGGUCUGUGAUGCCCUCAGAUGUUCCGGGCUGCACACGUGCUACAUUUAGUAGCGCAGUGUGCACAUUAAUAGAGUGAUAGGUUCCGUGGUUUGUACAUUUUAAGGGCUCGUCCUAGUAACCAAAGCUCCACGGGACAUAUCAACCUUCCCUUACAGGGCGGGUAACCUCUUCGAAGUGCUGGCAUGAUUUCCCUAGUUUUGGCAUUUGAAUCCUUGUCGCAGCAGCCCUGAGACGUAGUGAACGCUGCAAAGUGAUUCCAGUCUUAGGUUUGCGACACAUGCAAUUCCUGGUUGACUCAUCGUGGGGACUGAUUCUUGUAAUUAUUUUUCACGGUUCAACCAGGAAUGCCUUGUACCGGCGGCUCAUUAAACCGCUGGGAAUACGUCCCUGCCCUUUGUACACACCGCCCGUCGCUCUUACCGAUGACUUUGACUGUGAGUAGGACUGACCGUUUAUCGGGAAAUCCGUCGAACAGUUAGAGUUAAAGGAAAGAGAAGUCGUAACAAGGCAUCAGUAGGUGAACCUGCAGAAGGAUCA